GAUGAACGCUGGCGGCGUGCCUAAUACAUGCAAGUCGAGCGAACAGGCGAUGAUCUUGCUCCUCUUACGUUAGCGGCGCACGGGUGAGUAACACGUGGAUAACCUACCUAUAUUACUGGGAUAACUUCGGGAAACCGGCUCUAAUACCGGAUAAUAUAUUGAACCGCAUGGUUCAAUAGUGAAAUACGGUUUUUCUGUCACUUAUAGCUGGAUCCCCGCCGCAUGAGCUAGUUGGUAAGGUAACGGCUUACCAAGGCAACGAUGCGUAGCCGACGUGAGAGGGGGAUCGCCCACACUGGAACGUGAACACGGUCAAGACUCCUACGGGAGGCACCAGUAGGGAAUCUUCCGCAACGGGCGAAAGCCUGACGGAGCAAGGGGGCGUGAGUGACGACGGUCUUGGGAUCGUAAAAACCUGUUAUUGGGGAAGAACAAAUGUGUAAGUAAAUAUGCCCGUAUUGACGGUAACUAAUCAGAAAGCAACGGCUAACUACGUG
rnacentral:rRNA from 1 species